GGGGGCGUGUUGUAAUUGGCAGCCUGUUGGUUUACCAAAUCGUCGGAGCGGGUUCAAAUCCCGUCGCCUCCACCA
rnacentral:tRNA from 1 species